GAAAAAUUCUAAGAUUAAUUUAAGUCUACUGAUACCCUCUUCACCUAAAGUCCACCGACAAAGCCCUCAUCGCCCUCGGGAUGUUACACGCAGCCUAUCUGUGGCCAAGUUAAUGACUCUGAGUUCCAGCCAAGAAAAUAGGGAAGGGAACAUUCUUUAAAAGGGAAAAGGAUGAUAAAGAGAGAUGAAAAGAAGGAGACAGAGAGAAAGGGAGAGAGAGAUGGACAGUGGGAGAGAAAGAGACGGACAGAGAGAGGAAAAGAGACAGAGGUAAAGAGAUUAGAAAUAAUUAGCUGUGUGAUAUUGUCACAGGCUGAUUAUAGUUGUUAUUACAUUCAUGAACAAUGCAAUAUAUUUGUCAAGAUUUACUGUUCCAGUAUUCAAAUUUGGUCAUUUGAAU
rnacentral:misc_RNA from 1 species